GUCCAGGGGCGGGAAUCGAACCCACACCCUUCUGCUUACCGGGCAGGUGCCACUCGGCUACCCUGGA